rnacentral:snRNA from 1 species
UUACUUACCUGGACGGGGUCAAUAGGCGAUCAAUAAGACCUAUGGCCUAUGCUAGUGACCUCCAUUGCACUUUGGAUGGGUGCUAGUGUAAGGUCGGCCCAAGAGGUCGAGCCUGCGUCAUAAUUUGUGAUAGAGGGGGCCUGCGUUCGCGCGUCCCCUUU